rnacentral:sRNA from 1 species
AGCGUUGAAGUAAGAGGGUGUACCGGAACGCACUGUCUUAUGGAGCUUUCAGGAGGGGUUGUACAGCGAUACCUCAAACCGGAGUAGACGAAAGUCGAAAGAAAAUGUU